AUAAAAAUACACUGACAAGAUAUUGAGAACUUCACGUGACCAAAACUCUAGAAAAUCACAAUUCCAUUGAAUUUUUCUUAGAGUGAUCUUGAGUUCCAAAUUCUGAAUUAAAACUCCAGCUUAUCUAAGGUCGAAAAUGGCUUGAAUUUUCCUUGUGUGUUAUUAGUUGAAGUUUCAGAGGUUCCUGAAAUCAUUUUUGAGUUUAAUAGGGUUCAUUCGAGUUUGUUUUGGGUAUUUACUGGUUUUGUUCAUCUGAAUUAAUUACUGGGCUGUUUGGUAUCAUUUCUUGGUUCGAAAUUAACUUUAAACUGCUACUGACUGUUUGUUGCUGCCUAGCUAACCCUCCAUUUCCUUAUUGCUAUUCAAAUUUCAGGUAUUCCUUUGGUCUCAAGUGAUGUAUGAGGAUUGAAUCAGAUGUAUUCUCGAGCUUGAAGACAAUAGCUAUUUGUUUCCCCAUGAAUUCCCUAAUGUCUCUGCUUUAAUUGUGAUGGCUAGCGUAGUUGUGUGUUUGUUUGGACACUGCUUCAUCUGUAAUAAUGGGACUUUGGACUAUUUUUAGAUUUAUGUGAG
rnacentral:lncRNA from 1 species